rnacentral:tRNA from 1 species
CGAAAUAGCUCAAUUGGUAGAGCAACUGACUUGUAAUCAGUAGGUUUCGGGUUCAAGUCCUGAUUUCGG